UUAAAUAAUUAAAUAUUUUUAGUUUCAGACAUUAGGUUUUUAAAUAAAAGGUUUUGAUUUUAAUCCUUUGGCUAGGUUUUUACGUCCAGCCAAAGCAAAAGUUAAUGUAAAGUUCACAGGUGUUAUGGAUGAAGAUUAUACUAAUGUAUAAAACUCGUUAAUGAUCCUUCCGCAGGUUCACCUACGGAAA
rnacentral:misc_RNA from 1 species